rnacentral:pre_miRNA from 1 species
AAAGUACUCCCUCCAUCCCAAAAUUCUUGUCCUAGAUUUGUCUAGGUAUGGAUGUAUCAAGUCACAUUUUAGUAUUAGAUACAUCCGUAUCUAGACAAAUCUAAGACAAGAAAUUUGGGAUAGAGGGAGUAGUUG